rfam:Haemonchus contortus, ISE/inbred ISE, WGS project CAVP01000000 data, contig: Hcontortus_30127
GGCCCAAACUUGAAGUAAGGUAGAUUAGUAAGGUCAGCUGAUUCUAUUAUCCUACUGUACUUCGAAUUUGGGCCC